GCCCAGUGAUGAGACUAAGGCGAAUAUGAGCUCAUUGAAUGAGAGCCGGGUUCUUGUUGCCUUUACUGGCAGGUAAUCUUGGCAGUGCAGAGGAGGAUUUCUGCUCUGCUGUAAGGGCCUGCCGACAGAGACUUAGCUCAGCCAGCAUUAUUCCUCUACAGUUAUCGUGGAGUAAUGGCUUGGGUGAUGCUGACAGUGUGUGUGCGCGUGUGUGUGUGCGUGUGCAGAAGGCAAAAAGUUCACCCGGCUCUCUUUGAUGUUCAGUGAGCUAUGACUUUCGUCUUUGGUAAUCUGAGGGCA